GACGUAGGUGGCGAACGUUAUCCGGAAUUAUUGGGCGUAAAGGGUGCGUAGGUGGCCUGGCAAGUUAUCAGUGGUAAAUCGAGGCCCAACCUCGUGGAAACUGGCAAUACUGUUUGGCUUGAGUGCAGGAGAGGUUAACGGAACUCUAUGUGGAGCGGUAAAAUGCACAGAUAUAUAGAAGAACACCAAUAACGGCGAAGGCAGUUAACUAUUCUGUUCCUGACAUUGAGGCACGAAAGCGUGGGGAGCAAAACGG
rnacentral:rRNA from 1 species